rnacentral:sRNA from 1 species
UUACCUCUCCCGUGGGGAGAGGUCGACUUCGCGAAAGCGAAGUCGGGUGAGGGC